rnacentral:rRNA from 1 species
GACAGCAGCCGCCGCGGGAAAACGGAGGGUGCAAGCGUUAAUCGGAAUUACUGGGCGUAAAGCGCACGCAGGCGGUCUGUCAAGUCAGAUGUGAAAUCCCCGGGCUUAACCUGGGAACUGCAUUUGAAACUGGCAGGCUAGAGUCUUGUAGAGGGGGGUAGAAUUCCAGGUGUAGCGGUGAAAUGCGUAGAGAUCUGGAGGAAUACCGGUGGCGAAGGCGGCCCCCUGGACAAAGACUGACGCUCAGGUGCGAAAGCGUGGGGAGCAAACAGGAUUAGAUACCCCGGUAGUCCCUGUCUCUUAUAA